UACAGGGGGGGCAAGCGUCGUUCGGAAUUACUGGGCGUAAAGGGCUCGUAGGUGGCCAACUAAGUCAGACGUGAAAUCCCUCAGCUUAACUGGGGAACUGCGUCUGAUACUGGAUGGCUUGAGUUUGGGAGAGGGAUGCGGAAUUCCAGGUGUAGCGGUGAAAUUCGUAGAUAUCGGGAGGAACACCAGUGGCGAAGGCGGCGAUCUGGGAAGAUACUGACGCUGAGGUGCGAAAGCGUGGGGAGCAAACAGG
rnacentral:rRNA from 1 species